CAGAGGGAGCCCAGCCCGCCAAAAGAGAGAUGCCAUGGAAGGGCCGGGAAGAUAGCAUGUGCCAGGUGUUCUCCGGAACUCAAGAUGGGAGGGAAGACUCUGUUGUGAACCUAGCCUUUCACGGCCAAGCCAUUUCUCCAGCUUCUAGUUAUAACGGAGUUGCAAGUUCUAGAUGCACAUAUGCCAUCCCCCAUAAUGGCUCUCAGAAAAAUUGAGAGCAUGGAAGAAUCGUGAUGUUUCUGUAGUGGACCAGAGUUGUUGUCCUGAAACGUUCAGUAUCAUUGACCUUCUCCUAGGCUCCAGGGAGCACAACGUCAGUAAUGAUCAUGAGGAUUAAAGUGAAAACAGUGAGGAAAGACUCCUGACUUCCAGUUUUUCAUGAAGGAACUUGAAAGUUUCCAGUUGACCCUCACACAAACACCCGUGCGAACCAGCUAGAAACCAAACACUUCUUCUAGGCUGUGCAAGAGAGGAAAAUCACAAGGACAAAACAUGUGACUGGAAGAUCAAGAACAACCUUUAGAAGAAGACGUGUCAGGGUUGAGGAAUUAAAACCAAUGAGACAUCACCUCCUACUAUUGGAUGACUAAACUAAGAAGACCGUUUCCCCACUAAGUGUGGCUCCUGCCUCCAGGUUCCUGCCCUGUUUGGGUUCCUGUCCUGGCUUCCUUUGAUGAUGAAUAGUGAUAUGCAAGUCAUGUAAAGUGGCAGCAAGAAAGUCCUCACUAGACACCAGAGGCGAGGAAGGUGAUACCUGUGCUUUUAUACUGUAGUUCCACACCACUGUCCAAGGUAGGUCAAAAUGAAGAUGGAUCCCGGGUGUUCAACAGCAGAUGGUUGGAUAAAUUCACCAGAGAGAUGGCUCAGCAAUCGGGAGCACAAGCAGCUCUUCAAGAGGACCUGGGUUUGAUUCCCAGCAUACGCAUAGCAACUCACAACCAACUGUAACUCCAGUUCCAGGGAGUCUGACACUUCUUCUGGCCUCCCUGAGCACCAGAUCCAAGGGUGCACAGACAAACAUGUUGGACAAAUUAAUAUUUUAAACUAAAUGUUUAAUUAUUUGUGUGGGUGUCUUUUCAUCCCUCUCUAUCGUCAUGUCCGUCCCUCCCAGCCUCCCUCUCCCUGCUAACUUCUCUCCCUCCCUCCCUUCUUUCCUCUUUUCCUUCCCGCCUUCCUUCUGCCUGUCAUAGGAACACCCUAACCACUUUUAUGUUUUUCUAUCUUUAUAUCCUUACCUUUAAUGUAAAUAUAAUUUCAGCUGCGUUUUGUCAUUCUUGGUUAUGUUCUGCUAAAACUGCAUUAUCCAGAACCAUGGUAGAAAACCUGCAGUUUCUGUCAUUGAACAGAAUUCCAUGCCCUCUCCUGAGAUAGUUUUAACUACCAAUUUGUCAGUAUAAUAAGCAUAGGCCUCCCCUAAAAGGCAUGAGAGAGAGUUUAUUCUAAAGCCAAACAUGGAUGUCAAUGGUCCAGUAACACAGGUUCAACUUACCCCCAAACUCUAUGAUCCAAAAUGAAUAGCAAUAGAAAAGUGGAUGUCAUGAAUCAAGCCACUUUUCAAAUAGCUUGGAGGGAACUUCAGAUGGACAGGUUCUAACAACACAGGGAAACCUCUGCUGUAGGUCUCGCAUGCGACUGGUGGCAUUCUUCACAUUUUGGUUGGUGGGAGCGAGGAGCCUGUCAACACUUUUCAACCAUGUUUCGCCUGUCCGCUGUAGGUAUGUCAAGUCAGACACGGAGGUGCACAGCGAGUGGCUAUCAUUUUAAAGCUAAAUUGUAACUGGGCUCCGGACCUGCAAUAUCCCUUCUUCUGCACAAUUACUGAAGUUCUAACCAGGCAAUCAGGGUUUGUAGAAGGGUCAAAGUGGGGUGCAAUUUUAACUGCAUAGAAUUUAGUGAGUUCAUUACAGGAAGUGAUGACUUCAGUAAUAUAUGUGUCUGAGAUGUGCGUGUACAGGCAUUAGAACAUGCGUACUCACUGACUCUCCAGAGAUAGACUUUUAUUUCUAGUCAUUGAGGUGGUCAUGAUGGAGUCUGAAUCAUGUCCUGUGUUUCCACUGGCAUCAACUCACUCACUCCUUAUAUAGAAAAUGAGGAACUUUGUCAGACAUUCAUGGGAUUCCAUGGAUUGCUCCAAUGUAUUUGUCAUUUCUAGUAAGUUUGCUGUAUUAAAGUUUAGCUUCUCUUCUUGCUAUCUAUUCUUCAGGGAUAUCAACCUUACACUCACAACAUCUCUUCCUUCUUUCAACAAUCACCCUUUCAUUGCUUUAACUUGGCUGGCAGGAUCAACUUCAUAGUCACCAUUUCUAAUGUAGUUCUCCUCUCUUUAGUCUUUAUAGUCUUUCAUAUCUCUGCUAACCACGGAAGGCUCAAUUAUUCCCUCUACCAUUGUGUUUUACUAUUUUAAUUCAAGCUGCUAUGGGUGCUUUUUUAUUGAAGUUUUGUCAGAGUUACUGGAGUAUGAAGAGCUUUCCAUAUGAGUAUGUUUUGCUUAUCCUGAAAUGUUCACUCUCAUGUAAAUUCUUCAUCAACUUUCAGAAUUGCUUUCCCCAGAUUGUGAUGUAGUUUUUGGUAAAAGAAUGUCAGUGCUAUGUCUAUGCAAAAUCCCCAAGCAAGCUAUUCUUGUAAUUACAUGCAGUGUGCAUGUCAGAGACCAGCGGCCUGAGGGUUCUGUCCUCCACCUGUUUGCAGCCAAUGUGGGCAGACAGCAGCAACUGGAGCCCUCCAGUGUUCAGUCCUAGUGCAGACCUCAAUGAUCUUGGGGGUCAGCACUUGAGGGUUCAGUUCCCAGGAUUCUGUCCUCUUAGUGCUUAGCAGAAGCCUGUGUUACAGCUCUCAACCCCAGGUCUGAGACCCUUGUCUGUGAAGACUUCUAGCUCUCUGAGACUUAUGGCAUCAAAGACCUGCUGUUUCUCUUCACUUGCUCCUUACAGCUCUUUAUCCUUCUUCAGCGUCAGCCCUGCACCCCUUGUCCUCUUUCUCCUUCCCGCCUUCUCCCUCCUGUCCUAGAGUUUCACAAACUGAGCAGCUGCUGCUUUUUCAGCUGUCAAUCAUCAGCUGCCCUGCUAUAUUCACAGCAUGGCCUGACCACACUCAGCUGUCUCUGCCUUCGCCAUUCUGCUCUGUCAUUCUGUGGCCUGUGCUGAAACCCCUGCUGUCAGCUAUCCCUGCUGAUUCUCCCCUGGUAUUACCAGUACUGCCUGAUCAGCUUAGAGAAGGCAAGAAAAACCCACUGCAGGGACUGAUGUUGCAACACUCAGGAUUGAAACAUAGGAGGGCAUCCAUCAGACUUGAUGAGACAGAGCAACAUUCUUGAAUAAUUUGAGAAAAGUCACAGUCCCGGCCUUCAGUUUCUGACUAGUCACAGCACUUUGUGUAGGUCAAUCAUAGCCUUGACUUUUGCUCCAACCACAGUCUUUGAGGCUUCUGUUUGUGUGUGUGUGUGUGUGUGUGUGUGUGUGUGUGUGUGUGUGAGAGAGAGAGAGAGAGAGAGAGGGGGAGGGGGGGUGUGGGAAUGAAUGCCUGUGGAUAUUUGCUCUUGAGUAUCGAGUGUGGGCACACAUGCGGUAGAGUUCAGGUGGAAGACAGUACAGCUGUAGGCAUUGUAAGCAUGAGUCCUCUCACCCUUUACCUGGCUGGAAAGUGUCUUUUUAACUCUCCAUUAGCCAGACUAACUGGCCCAGGGCCUUCUGAUGAUUGCCCUAUCAAUGACUCUCUUCUCGACAUAGGGCCACACUGGGAUUACAGAUGUUUUCUUGCUGGCAUUAUCUGAGUGUUCCCCACAAGACUGAAAUGCCAGUGGGUUGGUAAAGGGCUGAGAUGUGAACCCCUCUGGAGACAGUUUAGGAAACAGCCUCUGCUUUGUUAUACCUGAGCAACUCUUUUUAUAAUGGGAGCCUAUGAACUGCGAUUGGCUAACACAUUACCUGGGAUUGUACAUUGAGUGAUCAUACCACUAAGGUCUUUAUGUGGGAGACGCACAUAAAGGAGACUGGAGAGUGCAGACUCUUCAGCAAGCCAGUUACAGGCUACUAGUGUUCUGACUUCUGGGAAUACUCAGGAGCAUGGUUGCCAUGCUUCUUAUUUAGAAGGGCAAGUGCCAGGUAAGCUGACUCCCAGGCACUGCCUACAUUUUCGCCUGCAGUUCCCCCUCUGUAUCAGUCUGCAUUCCUAAGAGAAGAGCUUCCUGAUCAAGGAGCUGAAUACAUCAACCAAUACAUGUUAGUUUGGUGUCUUUGUGUGACUCCUACAGUGGGAAUGGGGUGUCUCUGACACUUUUCCAUCUAUUUUCUCACCCAGUCUUGAUAUGAGUAUUUGUGUCAAUUAUUAUUGUGUCUUACUAUGCUGUGUUCAGUUGGUAUCCCUAGGAUGCUUGCUGUUUUCUGAAGGGAAAUGGAGGAGGAAUGGAUUUAAUGGAGAGGGCAUACGAGGGGGUACUGUGAAGAGAUGAGGGAGGGGAAACUGUAAUUAGGAUGAAUUGUGUGAGAAAAGAAUAUAUUUUUAAAAAACAAAAAUGAUUAUGAAAGGCAUGGGGAAAAACCAAGAGUAAAAAAAGAUAGGAAAUAAUGCAUACCUUUUAAUAACUUGAAAACCCAUGGAUCAAAUUUCCCAAUCAAAGAAAACUGACAGAUUGGAUUAAAAGAUAGGACACUCCUAUUUAUUGCUCCAAGAAACACAGCUUACCAUCAAAGCCUGGCACAAACUUAGGGUAAAAAGAUGGAAAAUUGUAAUUCUCCAUCAUCUAAAUUUCAAAAUUAAAUUUUGGAACACCUUA